UCAAUCAGUCAUUAAUCAGUAAACAGUAUGGGGGUUGUUACAAAAUCGCUCCUGUGGCCGAAGUUUCUGUUUCAUUAAAUCAAAAACCCCAAGAGUUUUGUCUGCAUAUGAGCUGUCAUGCACGAUUUCCUCAACCGUUUCCGCCACGUGUCCUUCUCUUAUUAGUUCGUACCUGACACGCGCCAUCAGGUCGCGUCGUUUCUCCGCACGCCGCCUGACAAACACGUCGUCCAAGGCGUAUUCAUUUCCUCUUGCCGCCUUUUCGAGUUUCAACAAAACUUUCUCUCUCUUUCUCUCUCUCUCUCUCUCUCUUUGUCUUCUCACUUCGUAUUUUCGUAUUUUCUCUUUGCUCAAGACUUUCUCUCUUUAACAAUUUCUCUACCUCCAUUGCUGUUUCUUCGAGCUCUCUAUAACUGUGCUCCGUUCAUGUUAUGACUCGAACCUACCCCUAUGGAUUAAGGUCAUAACCGGCCAGUAAUCAAGAGAUUACCUACGACCUCAAACCCAAUAAAACAUAUUUCAACAGAGUCAAGGGGCCAAAAUGGAAGCAAACUUAAAAAUUUUGUCCAUAGAGCUAUGCUUACAUGGUACAUCAACCGUUUCCGCCACGUGUCCUUCUCUUAUUAGUUCGUACCUGACACGCGCCAUCAGGUCGCGUCGUUUCUCCAUACGCCGCCUGACAAACAAGUCGUCCAAGGCAUAUUCAUUUCCUCUUGCCACUUUUUCGAGUUUCAACAAAACUCUCUCUCUCUCUCUCUCUCUCUCUCUCUCUCUCUCUUUGUCUUCUCACUUCGUAUUUUCGUAUUUUCUCUUUGCUUAAGACUUUCUCUCUCUAACAAUUGCUCUACCUCCAUUGUUGUUUCUUCGAGCUCUCUACAACUGUGCUCCGUUCAUGUCAUGACUCAAACCCACCCCUAUGGAUUAAGGUCAUAACGGCUAGUAAUCAAGAGAUUACCUACGGCCUCAAACCCAAUAAAACAUAUUUCAACAGAGUCAAAGGGCCAAAACGAAAGCAAACUUGAAAAUUUUGUCCAUAGAGCUGUGCUUACAUGGUAUAUCAAGAUGUUUCACAUACGUAUUUUAAUAACCCACACAAAAAGAAAGACCACAUAUAAUUUUGUCUAUACAGGAACAUUCAAGUCAUAGUCAGCCAAACCAAAAGCUUAUAUACAAGGGUGAUGGGACAUGUUCACCAAGAUAACAAAGAGUAAACCAAAGGAAACAAAACAGUGUCUCGUACGUGAGACAUUCAGGCUGUCUCCUCAAAACUUGACUUUCCUCACAUACUUCAUCGAGGCUGGGUUUGAAUAUCUCUUUGCUCACCUACAUACACAUGAAUGAAUGAAAGUAAGCGAAAGCCCAGUGAUCAAAUAAAGAAGGUACAUGAAUGAAAUUUUAAACGAACAUAUCCAACGGCCUUGGGCCCAUUCAUACCAAACAGCCUCUGGUCCACUUUGAUUCUAACAGAUGGCCUCGGGCCCAAUUCAUUCAUGUCAAACGGCCUCGGACCCAAUUCACUCUUGUCAAACGGCUUUGGCCCAAUCAUUCCCAUUAAGCGGCCUUUGGCCUAAUCGUUCAUGUCAAACGGCCUUUGGCCCAUUCAUUCAUGUCAAACGGCCUCGAGCCCAAUUCACUCUUGUCGAACGGCCUUUGGUCCAAUCAUUCCCAUCAAACGGCCUUUGGCCCAAUCGUUCAUGUCAAAUGAUCGUAUAUGAAAUGUGCGUUUGUACUUGAGGUCAUAAUCACAUCAUAAUCAUAAUUGUAAUCCAACGGCCUUAUCCAAUCAUAUAACAUAAUAAAUAUUUGUCCACAAUUCAAAUUAACAAACUUAUGAAACUCAAAUAGGAGUAAGCAAUUGGACAAAUAGCAUACUUCAAAAUAUCUUUACUAAGAUAUUACUCGCAGUGUUCUACCGGUGGAUUCGUCCUUAUGCUCGACCCUACAUAAUUCAUAACACAUAUUGGGUCACAAACAAUUCAAUCCGUUUUUUAAUCUAUUUAUUUCUCUUUGGCUUCUUUCUUUACCUUUUAGGUCAUAUACAAGGCUCAAUGCAUGCCUAAGAGUGCCUAGAAAUGGAAGAGAAUGGAAAAUGAAACACAAAACAACUUUUUAAAAUUUUUGAGACAGGGCUCUCCACUCGAGUGCAGCUUUGGUCGCUCGAGUGGACCCCUUUGGUCCGUAAAAGUACUGGUUACCUCAUUUUUGCGCUCUAGCGUGAUUUCGGAUGCUCGAGUUAAGAGCCAAAACAUGUGACUUGGCACUCGAGCGUAACUCUCCUCGCUCGAGCGGGUAUCAAUGUCUGCAAAACUUCUGGGAGCUAACAUUUUAUGCUUGAACGGCGUUUCUCCCGCUCAAACAGACAUGCUGAAUUCUGAAAUUUUCAGAAUUGCAUUUGAAGCUCAAACUUAGCAUUGAAAAUGUCUAAAGCUCAUGUUCUUGAUACAAAAUCAUGGAAAUCUUUAUACAAUAUGAGGACAUAAGAAAAUUGAGUCUAAUUUGUCCAAAAUCACAAUUCAAUUCCCAAAUUAUUUCACAUUUUUCUUGAUAACCCAUACCAACUUCAUAUCUUCAAAACUCAUGCAAAUUAAUUUCCAUAUCACUUUGAAUUUUACAUGCAUGUAAAAUAUAGGCUUCAUUUUUAACUUAAAUAACACAAUUGAUGCUCAUCUUUAUCAAAUUCAACAUUAUCAUGUUUGCAUGUGCCAAAUAGCCUUCAAUUCUUUAUAUAAUGCAUGUUUGUACUCAAUUAUGCAAGCUCAUGAUAAUUCUUUACAUGCAUGUCUAUACAAGUUUCAAAUUUAUCAAAUUCAACUCAAUUUAUGUUCUUGAUUACCAUCUAACCUUGAAUUUACAAAAUUACAAACUCAAAAUUAUGAAUCUAUGCUCAAUUACUCACCUAGGAGCUCCAAUCUCCCAAAUUCUACCUAGUUGUUGAGCCUAGCCUCCAAAUUCCUAAGCUCUUAAAUUUGAGCUCCCUCUCUCUCUACAAUUGGCACACUCUCUCUCUCUAGAGUGUAACUUCAGCUAAGAUGAGCUCAAAAGAAGGAAUUGAGUGUAUAUAGGCCUAUUUAUAGACUUGGCUAAUCAAUUUGAUUAAAACUAAGUAAUGAUGCUCUAAUUUAAUCAUUCUGAAUCUAAUUACUUUGAUCCGAAUCAAUUUUCAAUUAAAUUUCACCGUAGGCUCUAAAAAUUACGCUAAUCACAAUGGCGUAGUUAAUUUCAGUUUCUGACGUCUCUUCAGCCUUCAAUUAAAAUUCUAAAGCAGGAAAUCAAACAGAUUUUCCUACGGUGAACAUAUAUAACUUCAAAAAUACAAACUAUCCCAUAAUUGGCACCCAAAUUAAAUUAAGCACAUAAUCACAAACACAAUAAACAUUAAUUAACAUAAUAUAGAACAGGGUUAUCACAGUUCACCUUCUUCGGCGAAGCAUUCACUGUUCUACUCCUCAUUGCCACCGUCUGAUUCUGGCGAAUCUCAAAUCGGUGUCUUCGACUUCGGGCCCAACUGCUCUCCCUCAACCCUUAAAAGAUUUUCGCCAGACUUUAUUUCCCGGCAAGGACUUGAAAAGGCUGCCGAUUGACCAGCGCAAAGCCCCUCUGCUGUUCAAUUACAUUCCAACUUACAAAUCUUCAUCGCCCGACGUUCCCAAGAGGAGCAAGACUUCUCUCUCUGCUAUAACUCCAACAGCCGCUUCCUCGUCAAGGCCGGACUAGGCCUCAUUUUCUGAUCCAGCUGAGGUUGCAUCAAUGUCUGCCCCCCAACUUAUCCGGACAUCACAACACCGGCGCCGACGCCGACGUCGAGCUCUACCAAAUGUACCACCAGGCGGAACUCGUAGCCAAAAACGUCAAGGUUCUGACGCGUCGCCUUACAACCCGGUCAAUCCCCUAAUUGCUCUUCCUACGUUCCACUUUGGCACUAAAGUUAUCGUUGCUUCAACUGCCGACAAGAUGGCUUGUAGCAAGGUUGUCGUUGAAGACCUCUUGGCCGACCUGCCUGGUGUCGUAACAGUUCAAUCCUCCCCAUUACAAUCCCAGCCUAAGGUUAAGCCAAAUAGGAUAAAGAAAGCCAAAGUCAAGGCAACAGUGACUCAGAUUGACUUUGAGGACACUGUACCAAUCACCAAACUAGCCGUGGCUGAAAAUAGUACUCCUUCGGCCGAUAAGAGGCCAGCCGAGCCCGAGGUGUCUGACCCACCACAAUCCAAUCUAAUUUUUCUGGUUUCCGUGUCGAUGCUCCCUAGACUCCAUCUGUCACAGUAGGUGACCGACCUCUUCUAGCGGGGGACAGUGCUCUGGACAGUUUGGAGGUUGGUGCUGCCAUUUCUGCCACCGUUCUACUUCCAGCGGACAUCAAUCGGAUGGCUGAGCUUUUAGAGUAUGAAAAUUAUGCAAUGAUGAUGCAGCAUUGUGUCUUGGCUAUCCAACAGGGUCACUCCCUUAUAGUCAAGAUCGAUGUAUUCAAAAAAGGACUUACCCAAAAAACAAAGGAGGCUGCCAAACUUCUUUCCUCACUCAACAAGGCCGAGGCCCACAUCUGAGGUCUUCUAGAUCAAGCCAAGGCUAUUGAGUUGGCCUUGAAGAAUGCCAAGGGAGGACCAAGCCCAGGCCGCGAAAAAUGUUGCCAAGGUCUCUAAGGCUGAGGUAAAAAAAGCCAAAAAAAAAAAAGAGGUCCAAGCCCAAACAAAGCUGCAGGCGGCGUUUGCUACCAAGGCGGUUGAGAUAAAUGAGGUGGAUGAGAAAUCUUACACUGAAGGGGUAGCCGACGUUCGCGACGAAUACAAAAAACAAGUUAAACAGACAUGCAACAAGGGUUACACCCUUGGUUGGAUGGCUUUCUUAAAGGAGUUGGUUGUCCCUGAAGACUUGCCCCUUAAGGACGAAAGCCGACUUGUUUUGUCGUUCCCUCCCGCUCCAAGCCAGUCUAAGGACGAGGCUGAGGGGGACGAAGAAAUUGAGGCUGAGAAGACUGAUGCUGCUAGGGCCAAGUUCCCAACUCUGAAUGAGCAAACCGUUGACUUGACUCUAGAUGAUGAAGAUGAGGUCCCCAAGAACGCGCCUGAAGCUGAGGUCGAAAGUGCCGAGAAGAGCCUUGACAAGACUUUUCUAGAGAUCGACGCUGAGAUCAAGGCCGAGAAGGCUGCUGAGAAGCUCUCCCAGCUGUUUGUUGGGGCCGAAACACAACCAACCCCCAAUGCAGAGCAGUCUAUUUAAAAUCUCCUCUCUAAACUUUGUAAUUUUUCUUUAUAAUAGUUUUCUGCUUUUAGUUGGGCCGAAGUGCCACUUCUGUAAUUGAACAAGUAAUCUUUUUGUAGGUCGAAGUGCUUUUUUGCCU